GUGAAUCAUCAAAUUUUUGAACGCAAAUUGCGCUCUCUUCUCAGAGUAUGCGUGUUUGAGGGUCAGCCUAAAAAAAAUCCACAUAGUCGCUGUUUCCCGGUGUCAUUCGUCUGAAAUUGGGUCAUCUUAAACCUUUUUGUUGUAAGCGGCUUAAAAUUUUCUUUACGAUUCUACGAACGUUUCUAAGAUUUACUUACACGUUUAAGGUAUCGAUUAUUAUUAGACUGGGCC
rnacentral:misc_RNA from 1 species